CUGGAGUGGCUAGCCAUUCACUUCUUCAGGGGAUCUUUCCAACCGAGGGAUCAAAACCUGCUCUCCUGCUUGCAGGCAGAUGCUUUACUGUUGAGCCACCAGGGAUAGUGGUUGACAUGGGAAACACUAAAUAUGAAACAGCAAAUCUGUCCAUGGUUCAUAAGCAAAUGAAGUUCAUUCCUUCAUAUGGAGGAAGUAUAUUUAUAAUUAUAUAUUGUACAUUUAUACUCGUAUUUGUUUCUCUUUGAAAACAUGGUGCAUGCAAAAGGAUCUGGAUUGGGUUUUGCAGAGUGGAACAAAUGGAACAAGGAAAAGAGCUGGUGGUGGUGAAUGUUGCAGUGUGUAAAUUAAAUUCCUAAUGACAUAAUUUGACAUCCAACUCUCCUAAUCUUCUUUUUUUGGAUGAUGUUCUAAAUAACGACUCUGUGCAUCAAGGA
ensembl:lncRNA